GACGAACGCUGGCGGCGUGCUUAACACAUGCAAGUCGAACGGAAAGGCCCUGCUUUUGUGGGGUGCUCGAGUGGCGAACGGGUGAGUAACACGUGAGUAACCUGCCCUUGACUUUGGGAUAACUUCAGGAAACUGGGGCUAAUACCGGAUAGGAGCUCCUGCUGCAUGGUGGGGGUUGGAAAGUUUCGGCGGUUGGGGAUGGACUCGCGGCUUAUCAGCUUGUUGGUGGGGUAGUGGCUUACCAAGGCUUUGACGGGUAGCCGGCCUGAGAGGGUGACCGGCCACCUUGGGACUGAGGUUCGGCCCAGACUCCUACGGGAGGCAGCAGUGGGGAAUAUUGCACAAUGGGCGGAAGCCUGAUGCAGCAACGCCGCGUGCGGGAUGACGGCCUUCGGGUUGUAAACCGCUUUCGCCUGUGACGAAGCGUGAGUGACGGUAAUGGGUAAAGAAGCACCGGCUAACUACGUG
rnacentral:rRNA from 1 species